rnacentral:tRNA from 1 species
AGGAUAGUAGUUUAUAAAAACAUUUAAAUUGCAAAUAAAAAAUAUCUCCAAGAUCUAUCUUU